UAAUACCCUAAUAUUAUGAUAAUAGGGCAUCCUAUAAUUAUGAAAGCUAUAUGCGCUGUGAGAGAGCUUUGCGUCCCAUUAGCUAGUUGGAGAGGUAACGGCUCACCAAGGCGAUGAUGGGUAGCCGGCCUGAGAGGGUGAUCGGCCACAAGGGGACUGAGACACGGCCCUUACUCCUACGGGAGGCAGCAGUGGGGAAUAUUGGACAAUGGACCGGGAGUCUGAUCCAGCAAUUCUGUGUGCACGAUGAAGUUUUUCGGAAUGUAAAGUGCUUUCAGUUGGGAAGAAAGAAAUGACGGUACCAACAGAAGAAGUGACGGCUAAAUACGUGCCAGCAGCCGCGGUAAUACGUAUGUCACGAGCGUUAUCCGGAUUUAUUGGGCGUAAAGCGCGUCUAGGUGGUUAUAUAAGUCUGAUGUGAAAAUGCAGGGCUCAACUCUGUAUUGCGUUGGAAACUGUAUAACUAGAGUACUGGAGAGGUAAGCGGAACUACAAGUGUAGAGGUGAAAUUCGUAGAUAUUUGUAGGAAUGCCGAUGGGGAAGCCAGCUUACUGGACAGAUACUGACGCUGAAGCGCGAAAGCGUGGGUAGCAAACAGGAUUAGAUACCCUGGUAGUCCACGCUGUAAACGAUGAUUACUAGGUGUUGGGGGUCGAACCUCAGCGCCCAAGCAAACGCGAUAAGUAAUCCGCCUGGGGAGUACGUACGCAAGUAUGAAACUCAAAGGAAUUGACGGU
rnacentral:rRNA from 1 species